AUUUCAGCAAUGAGCAAUAAUAUAUCAUUUGAUAUAUUUUUGCUUUUCUUUCUCAAAUACACAAAAAGAAGUGACAAAAAAAUACAGAAAAAGAAGAAAACAACCCUAAUCCUUAUCCCUCUUUUCACUAAAACCCUUUUCCUCUUUCUCUUUUCACGCAUCAUACCUUCACCCUCCCUUCUUCUGCGAGCGAAACCCUCACCCUCACCUCAGCGCUGCGCCAUUCUUUCACCACUUCCCCAAUCGUUACGUUGUUGAGCUAAGUGUACGUUUCAGAGCCAUCAUCUUCUCAUUCUAUCGAUUCUAACAAGAAGCAAGUAAAACAGGAUGAUACGUCUCAAUUUCGGACUCAGUUUGGAUUCUCUAGUCCUUUGCAUUGUCGAAUUGACAACAAACGAUAAAGUUUCUUCAGGUCUGCCUUAAUGAUAGUUGGUUUUGGUUCUUAUUUAUUUGGUUUAGACUAUCAAUAUUAAGAUUGAUAACUUUCUAAUCAUUAUUAUCUUCAAACGAAAUUAUCUUUCUCCCUUUACCACAGUGGAAGCCAUUCUCACAAUGUUUAACUUCAAUGCAUUAGGAAGAGUUUAAGAAAAUGAAUCACACUAAGUGAAUUGCAAAUUUGGCUUUAGUUGGUUUGCUUAUCUUAUUGCUUCAGGCAUCAUGGAGAUAAAGAACUUUCAAUUUCCUUCGCCGGUGACAAAAAUUUCAAUUCUUGAGUGCGCUUUAUUUCUCUGAGAGGUGGAUGUAGCUCAUUCUGUAGCAGUCAAUACUUGUGAUAGAGGUAUUUUAUAUUGAUUAAAUUUAACUUUUAAGGUAAUAGAAAAUUGAAGCGAAAGGUUCUUACAACUUUUUAAUGUGUGUGUGCGCGUAAGUAGUUUAACUCUGCUUUUCAUUAUUGAGUUUUCCUAUCAAAAUGUAUGCUAGUGUUUAGAACAUAGUUGGCUUAUAGAUAAGUAGCAAUAUUUUAUAAGGUUGCUCUAUCCUCUAUGACUUUUUUUUUUCUUCUUCCGAGUUGAUUAGUUUUUUUCAAUUGCUUGAAUUUGGCGAUGUGACACUCACCUUUUAGACUUUUAGUCUUGCUUUGUUCAUGUGUGAUUUUUCUAUCAAAAUUCUUAAAUUUGAUGGUAUAAGUUAGGUCUAUUUUGAUGGGUUAUAUAUUUUGUGGGUUAUGUAUUUUGUGGGAUAUUUUGGUGGGUUAUAUAUUAGUGAGUUAUAUUUUGAUUGAUGGUAAGUUAGGACUAUUUUAAUGGAUUAUAUAUUUUGCGGGAUAUUUUGGUGGAUGUAGACAUUUUUUGUUGAAAUUAUAUAUGGUUAUAUAUUAGAAAUAGAAGGUCUAGUAAAGAACUACUUAAUUUGUAUUUUAGAUGUACUAAUACUAAUUGUUUGUUGAUUUUCCAUCAGCUACAAAGCUAUAUUU